rnacentral:tRNA from 1 species
UAUCAAAUUAAGUUAAGUAGACUAAGUG